AGUUGUUUUCAUUGUACUCAGUCUUCCCCUCCGUCUCUGUCUCCAGCCACUUCUUACUUUCCUAGACCCCUGCAUUGCCAUUCUCCAUCCAUCCACUAGAUGGCCUCAGACUCUCCCAUCUGUCCCAGUCACCUGACUCUCCCUUCCACCUGCUCACCUGUCUCCACUUCCCCAUACCAUACCUUUUUUCACUCAUUCCCUUCCAGAUAGUCAAUGUUUGUUAUGCUACGCACACCCUUUGCUUUCCAGCCCCCUCAACUUGAAUUUGUAUCCUUAUACCUGGAACCAGGACCUGCCUGCCUAUUUCUCACCUUCUCUUUGGCCCUGAGCUCGUCAAACAUCUGCUGGAUCUCCAGCCUCCAGUCUUCUUGUAAGGAGUGAAAGGACUCCAGAGGCAUCUGAAACAUGGCCGACUGCUCAAUGGCCUGCAGUCUCUUCAGGAUGCUGGUGAAGGAGGGCCUGCUGCGGGGGUUUGGGCUCCAGCACUCUGCAAGAUAAGACACAAAAGGAAGAGUUAUUACUGAGGUGAAAAGCAGAAAUCUGGCCAUGGGGAGCUCAGGCGCAGGACUACACGAGGAUGUUUAAAAAGCAACUUAAUGAAACUGUUCAAGAUGGUCUCCAUCCAUUUUAACUCUUUGUGUUCAUCUCAGCUCCCAGAUGUAGAAUAAAAACAUAUGUUACCUCAAAAAUUAAAAUAAGGUUUCACCACUUUAAUCAUUGGUGACAUGUUUAAG